rnacentral:rRNA from 1 species
CCGGCCUCACCCCUUGACACCCUGACC